rnacentral:rRNA from 1 species
GACGAACGCUGGCGGCGUGCCUAAUACAUGCAAGUCGAACGAACUCUGGUAUUGAUUGGUGCUUGCAUCAUGAUUUACAUUUGAGUGAGUGGCGAACUGGUGAGUAACACGUGGGAAACCUGCCCAGAAGCGGGGGAUAACACCUGGAAACAGAUGCUAAUACCGCAUAACAACUUGGACCGCAUGGUCCGUGUUUGAAAGAUGGCUUCGGCUAUCACUUUUGGAUGGUCCCGCGGCGUAUUAGCUAGAUGGUGAGGUAACGGCUCACCAUGGCAAUGAUACGUAGCCGACCUGAGAGGGUAAUCGGCCACAUUGGGACUGAGACACGGCCCAAACUCCUACGGGAGGCAGCAGUAGGGAAUCUUCCACAAUGGACGAAAGUCUGAUGGAGCAACGCCGCGUGAGUGAAGAAGGGUUUCGGCUCGUAAAACUCUGUUGUUAAAGAAGAACAUAUCUGAGAGUAACUGUUCAGGUAUUGACGGUAUUUAACCAGAAAGCCACGGCUAACUACGUGCCAGCAGCCGCGGUAAUACGUAGGUGGCAAGCGUUGUCCGGAUUUAUUGGGCGUAAAGCGAGCGCAGGCGGUUUUUUAAGUCUGAUGUGAAAGCCUUCGGCUCAACCGAAGAAGUGCAUCGGAAACUGGGAAACUUGAGUGCAGAAGAGGACAGUGGAACUCCAUGUGUAGCGGUGAAAUGCGUAGAUAUAUGGAAGAACACCAGUGGCGAAGGCGGCUGUCUGGUCUGUAACUGACGCUGAGGCUCGAAAGUAUGGGUAGCAAACAGGAUUAGAUACCCUGGUAGUCCAUACCGUAAACGAUGAAUGCUAAGUGUUGGAGGGUUUCCGCCCUUCAGUGCUGCAGCUAACGCAUUAAGCAUUCCGCCUGGGGAGUACGGCCGCAAGGCUGAAACUCAAAGGAAUUGACGGGGGCCCGCACAAGCGGUGGAGCAUGUGGUUUAAUUCGAAGCUACGCGAAGAACCUUACCAGGUCUUGACAUACUAUGCAAAUCUAAGAGAUUAGACGUUCCCUUCGGGGACAUGGAUACAGGUGGUGCAUGGUUGUCGUCAGCUCGUGUCGUGAGAUGUUGGGUUAAGUCCCGCAACGAGCGCAACCCUUAUUAUCAGUUGCCAGCAUUAAGUUGGGCACUCUGGUGAGACUGCCGGUGACAAACCGGAGGAAGGUGGGGAUGACGUCAAAUCAUCAUGCCCCUUAUGACCUGGGCUACACACGUGCUACAAUGGAUGGUACAACGAGUUGCGAACUCGCGAGAGUAAGCUAAUCUCUUAAAGCCAUUCUCAGUUCGGAUUGUAGGCUGCAACUCGCCUACAUGAAGUCGGAAUCGCUAGUAAUCGCGGAUCAGCAUGCCGCGGUGAAUACGUUCCCGGGCCUUGUACACACCGCCCGUCACACCAUGAGAGUUUGUAACACCCAAAGUCGGUGGGGUAACCUUUUAGGAACCAGCCGCCUAAGGUGGGACAGAUGAUUAGGGUGAAG